rnacentral:rRNA from 1 species
AGUCGAACGAUGAUGCCCAGCUUGCUGGGUUGAUUAGUGGCGAACGGGUGAGUAACACGUGAGUAACCUGCCCCUGACUCUGGGAUAAGCGUUGGAAACGACGUCUAAUAUUGGAUAUGAUCGCCGGCCGCAUGGUCUGGUGGUGGAAAGAUUUUUUGGUUGGGGAUGGACUCGCGGCCUAUCAGCUUGUUGGUGAGGUAAUGGCUCACCAAGGCGACGACGGGUAGCCGGCCUGAGAGGGUGACCGGCCACACUGGGACUGAGACACGGCCCAGACUCCUACGGGAGGCAGCAGUGGGGAAUAUUGCACAAUGGGCGAAAGCCUGAUGCAGCAACGCCGCGUGAGGGAUGACGGCCUUCGGGUUGUAAACCUCUUUUAGUAGGGAAGAAGCGAAAGUGACGGUACCUGCAGAAAAAGCACCGGCUAACUACGUGCCAGCAGCCGCGGUAAUACGUAGGGUGCAAGCGUUGUCCGGAAUUAUUGGGCGUAAAGAGCUCGUAGGCGGUUUGUCGCGUCUGCUGUGAAAUCCCGAGGCUCAACCUCGGGCUUGCAGUGGGUACGGGCAGACUAGAGUGCGGUAGGGGAGAUUGGAAUUCCUGGUGUAGCGGUGGAAUGCGCAGAUAUCAGGAGGAACACCGAUGGCGAAGGCAGAUCUCUGGGCCGUAACUGACGCUGAGGAGCGAAAGCAUGGGGAGCGAACAGGAUUAGAUACCCUGGUAGUCCAUGCCGUAAACGUUGGGCGCUAGAUGUAGGGACCUUUCCACGGUUUCUGUGUCGUAGCUAACGCAUUAAGCGCCCCGCCUGGGGAGUACGGCCGCAAGGCUAAAACUCAAAGGAAUUGAC